GGGUCAGUAGGUUGGUCGUGCCACCGGUACGUACUGGUCCCACUGAUUCCUCCUUCCUGAAGAACCGUAAUGCCAUUAAUUUGGUGUUGCGGGGAAACAGGACUGUUACUUUAAAAAAAUUAGAGUGUUUAAAGCAAGCUAACGCUUGAAUACAUUAGCAUGGAAUAAUGAAAUAGGACGAUCGAUCCUAUUUUGUUGGUUUCUAGGAUUGACGUA
rnacentral:rRNA from 1 species